CCAGCCGGCCGGAUGGCCGCCGCUGUCGUGGCGGAGGAAAGUCCGGGCUCCACGGAGACACGGUGCCGGAUAACGUCCGGCGGGGGCAACCCCAGGGAAAGCGCCACAGAAAACAGACCGCCGCAAGGCAAGGGUGAAACGGUGCGGUAAGAGCGCACCGCGCGCAUGGCAACAUGAGCGGCAGGGCAAGCCCCACCGGGAGCAAGACCGAAUAGGGGCAACAUGCGGCAUCCUCCUGAGGAGGCCGCAAAUCCGUCUCCGGAUCGUUGCCCGGGUUGGUUGCUCGAGGCGGCCGGUAACGGCUGUCCCAGAGGAAUGGCCAUCACGCGCGCGAGAACCGCGCGCCAUACAAAACCCGGCUUAUAGGCCGGCUGGCACA
rnacentral:RNase_P_RNA from 1 species